UUUUUUUUUUUUUUUUUUUUUUUUUUUUUUUUUUGUCUUUUUGUCUUUCCUUGGGUCACUCCCACGGCACAUGGAGGUUCCUGGCUUCAGUUGCCCCAAGCUAUACCUCUCUCUUCUGAUCUAUCCAAGAAAAUUAAUUUCUCUUUUUACCUAAACUAGUUCCAGUAGAAUUUUUGUCACUUUCCAUCAGGAAAUCCCUGACUAAUCUAAAAAAUAAUCCCUUUGAGGAAAGCUCAAUUCACAAAUUUGGCAAUCUUGUUGGAGCCCCCAUUAUAUGAAGUUACAGCUCUAGUGUAAUUUCAAACACAGACUGGAAGAGAUGUGAUAAAUGUUAAAAAAAAAUGGUUAUUAUUUACCACUUAAAGGGACAACAUACUCAUAUUUGCAUUUGGAAAAAAGAUCUUGCAGCCAAAACCUGCUAGGCAAGAGUGCAGAACCUAAACAUAGACACACAGUCAGCAGUCUUACUAGGAAUCUAGUCUGUCAAUUUCACUAACUUCAUCUCCCAAUCACACCCCAUAUACACACCCAGCACUCCAAACUAUCCAGAUUUAAACAUCUUUUGCAACAGAAUGUUAAUUUCACAUGUUCACCAGGAAGAUAAAUUUUUGCACCUAGCACACUUGAGAAGUAAGAUAAACUGGGGAUGAUAUUCUAAAUAUUUAACAACCAGACCAGGAAGGGCAUGGAGCAAUCAGAAGAGAGGCUGGCUAGCAACAGCUCUACAUGUGAACGUUAAGUCUCAAAGCAGAGUGCAUGAAAAACUAGGAUUCUGGACUCCAGCCUCCAGGGAAACCUCAGGUUUAGGGAUUGAGAGAACCCCAGUAGGCUGACAAUGAGGGGCUUGCAAAGAGACUUUGAGCUGUGCCUCAGCCCAUCCAUCAGUCAAUCAGCCAUCCGCUGUCAACAGGCACAAAUGGUCACAAGCCACACCACCACUGUAUUUUCAUAGGCUUCUGAUCACUACUUUAAGUUAAUUCAUUGCUUCCUUAGACGUGCUAACUCCUUAAAUCAAUACAGCCAAGGCGCUUUGCCCCAGGUCCCUUCCUAUCUCUGCCAGAUGACUAUGCAGAAGUAGCCAAAACACAAUCGACAGCAGACAUGUUGUGAUUUCUCUGUUUCAAAGAAUCAGAGUCCAGCCAUCCAAAAAAGUGCUCUAAACCAAUUUAAAUCUUCACUCAACCCUUGAGGAAAUGGCAAAGAAGAAGGCCAGUGCGUUCUCAUGCACAGCAAAAUAUUCUAAAUGCCCUUUGAGCAGAGUUCUUUUGGUCAGUCUCUGUCCUCAUGCCAUCUCUCUCCCCCUCCCAGCCAUGGACUCCAGAAAAAUUCUCCCUCUGACGGUGACUCCUGAAAAUUCUCUUUUCCAGCUCUAAUCAUCUCCCACUCUCCCUACUAAAAUUAAGUCCAAGGGGCUCUACUUGCCUUUGCCCAAAGCUUCGAAAUCAUCGUAGAGGCUCAGCAAACUUUCCUUCUGAUCCCUCCCUCCCUGCCCCUUGCACUGCCUCCUGCUCCCACCACACCGCAACAGCAGCUUCCAAGAGAGUGGAAGCCAUGGCUGCAGGCUUACUUCCUCUGGCUGGGAGCACCAAGGACUCCUUACCACCCAACUCACGCCCCAGGGGAGGGAGAUGGUGAAACCCCCUCCUCCAUAUUCUGGUGGAGACUCUCUGAUGAAUGGAAUGUUCCAUCUGCUUGUACAUGUAUCUACUUCAGGACAACUUGUAUCGUUUUCCUAGGGUUUUCAUCCCCAGAUCUUGUAAAUGCCUUAUAUCCGACUCCGAGGCACCCUUAGACAACCCCCGCCAGGAGGCCCUCUCACCAGGGUCAGCUAUGUGGCCUUAGCUAAUUACACUCCCUCUGAGUUGGGAGGAUAACCUCAAGGUACCAGAUUAAUCUGCUGCUUCUUUUUCCUUCUCUUUACAUCCGAGCCCUGCAAGAACAAAAGACCUCAGAAUAGCAUGACACGCCUUGUCUGGUUUAAGGAGCUCUGACUUAAGAACUGGAAAAUAAGAGUUCCUGCUGUGGCACAGUGGGUUAAGAAUCUGACUGCAGUAGCUUGGUUCUCUGAAGAGGCGUGGAUUCCAUCCCCAACCCAGCACAGUGGGUUAAGGAUCCAGCAUUACCGCAGCUAUGGCAUAGGUUGCAGCUGAGGCUCUGAUUCAGUCCUUGGUCUGAGAACUUCCAGAUGCCUCAGGUGCAGUUGUUAAAAAAAGAGAGAGAGAGAGAGAAUUGGAAAACAUAGGUUCCGGUUCCACCCACCAUCACAAGCUGGUUGACUCUGAACCCAUGAGUUCCGUUCUGGGGGACUCAAUUUGAAGGAGUUGGACUACACAGAGGGUUUCUCAGCAGGAGGAGAGAUGUCUAAGCAAAUGGCCUUUUUCAUUUGUAUUUAUUUGUUGGGAUUGAUCAUAUGAUUGAUUGCACUUAGAGAGAAAAAAAAAAAAAAACAGUGGCUAAAAAUGUUUUAAAAACACUGCCCUAGAUGAUAUCUCCAAGGUCCUUCCAGUUCUAAUUGUCCAAGAGUCUGUGAUUUUCCCCACUGGCCUCUAUUUGUAGAGGAAGUCAGCAAUGAGCAAUCUUUUUUUCCAUUUUCCAAAUCAAUCAGGGUAUGACAAGCAGUUACAAUCGAACUUCCUUAAGCACUCUAACUGGGAGAUGUCUUAGGGAAAAAUCAUUACCCUAGAUCAUGGGUUAAGUAAUCUCCUCUCUGGCAGUGCUGAUCUCUCUGAUCAGCAUCCUUAGGGGUAGCUAUUUGUAAGUGGCCUUACUCCUCUGGGCUCCAACAAAACCACUGGCAUCACCCUGAGGACCAAUGGCCUGACAAAAUAAUCAUGGGGGAAUAAAAUCAUUCUCGUGGGAGAAUAAAGUUCUGCAGGCCACCUCCAAAUCAGGAGCAGGCAGUGACUAAAGGAGGAAGCCAGGGGAUGGGAGGGGACAUGGUCUUACCAAUUGAUGCAGAAAGAGAUUUUGCCAACCCACAAUACCUCCUCCCUCCAUCCCUCUAGCCAAUGUUGUUGACCUUCCUGUUCUCUGCUCCUUUUGCUGGAUUUGGCAAUGAUUUCUUGGAUAUGACGUGAAACAAAAAGACAUAGGCAACAAAAGUGAAAAAAGAUAAAUAGGACUUUGAAAAAUUUUUUUAAAUAUGUGUUUAAAUUUAAAAAUUUUAAAUAGGACACUAUUAACAGAGUGAACAGGCCAUCUGCAGAAUGGAGGAAAAUAUUGCAAAUUAUAAAUCUGAUAAGGGAUUAGUAUCCAUAAUAUAUAAAGUGCUCCUACAACUCAACAAGAAACCUCAAUGAUCAAAUGGGCCAAGAACUCGAAUAGAUAUUUUCCCAGCAGACAACAUACAACUGUCCAAUAAGCACAAGCACUUCUGAGGCAGAGCAAGGAUGUGCUCCCAAUGUGCUUGCUGGGUGAGUGCAUCCAGAUGAAAGAAUAAAUCCCAGCCGUAUAAACCAGGGAAUGUGCCUCCUUCAAAUGAAAACAUUGAUCACCACCUGCCUCCCCUCAGACACUAUUCUGCAAUGGAAUUUUAGAGCUUUUACAUUCAACGUACUAACUACAGUCCAAAGAAUGUGCAGAUUCAAGCAUUUUUCUUUUUACCAUGUUUCCUGAUCUUUAUGAAGAAUUAAUUUAAAUUUUUUUUCUGUUUAAAAAAAUUUAUAGGAGUUCCCUGGUGGCCUAACAGUUAAGGACUCAAACUUGUCACUGCUGUGGUUCAAGUUACUGCUGUGGGUCAGGUUCAAUCCCUGGCCCAAGGAACUUUCACAUACCACAUGCAGCCAAAAAAAAAAAAAAAAAAAAA
rnacentral:lncRNA from 1 species